rnacentral:lncRNA from 1 species
CUAAUAAAGGUGCAUCCCGUUUUAUCCAUGACUAUCCUGUAUAGAUAAAAUUACUCCUUUUUAUCCUGGUUAAUAUUAAUAAAUACCGUUUGAUACGUGUGUAUUAUGUUUAAUAUCGAAUGAUUUCAGGGAGCAUACAUUCAAAUUUCCCGGGGAUUUUCAAUGACGUUUUCUGAUUGGUUAAUGGACGACCAAUGAGAGUGCGAAAUGACACGAACGUGCACACAAAAAAGGCCUUAUAUUUUUUUACUAUAGUAAGAUUUUAAAAUUAGAAAAAGAAUUCAAUUUACAUUGAUUGAUUUCAGGUACAUUGAUCCAAGAAAUUGAGCUUUCAACCGCCCUUUAAAUAUAGAUAGAGGGCCUCAUCUAUGUCUCAUUGUCCCAGCCUGUAAAAUUUGAGAGGAGUCGUUGAGAGUUCGUUUCGAAACAAGUUCUGUUCGUCACGCAAGCAAGUGCGACAUGAAAACUGGAUGAUUGGCAGAGGAAGGAAUGUCGUUUUUGCAAACCGUCUUGGUCUCGGGCACCGGCAUUAUGUGCGAUUAUUCUGUGCGUCGGAACAUUUGUAAUAUUCUCCAUCACCACUCGAGGCUAUUCAGAUCCGAACAAAGCUGUCUUGGGAUGGGAGCCAAGUAAGAACCUCUCGGUGGCGGCGUUUCUGGAGACUGUCGACGUCAACGGAAGGCAUGAGGAUGGUGAGAAUGCCUCCGUCUGCGACUCUGACUUGCUUCUGCUGGUCGUCGUCUGCUCCAGUCCGGAGAAGGAGGCGCUCCGAACGGCCAUCCGCCAAACCUGGGCGUCCCAACAGGAUGACUCCGUCAGGGUUGUUUUCCUCCUUGGACGACCCCGCCGAGC